GUGCUCGCUUCGGCAGCACAUAUACUAAAAUUGGAACGAUACAGAGAAGAUUAGCAUGGUCCCUGAGCAAGGAUGACGAAAAAUCUGAAAAGGAAAUUAAGAAAACA
rnacentral:snRNA from 1 species